rnacentral:lncRNA from 1 species
AUGGCGCUGAAACGGAUUAAUAAGGAACUUAGUGAUUUGGCCCGUGACCCUCCAGCACAAUGUUCUGCAGGUCCAGUUGGGGAUGAUAUGUUUCACUGGCAAGCCACAAUUAUGGGACCUCAUGACAGACCAUAUCAAGGCGGUGUAUUCUUUUGGACAAUUCGUUUUCCUACAGACUACCCCUUCAAACCAUCUAAGGUUGCAUUUACAACAAGAAUUUAUCACCCAAAUAUUAACAGUAAUGGCAGCAUUUUUCUUGACAUUCUAAGAUCACAGUGGUCGCCUGCUUUAACACUUUCUAAAGUUCUUUUAUCCAUUUGUUCACUGCUAUGUGAUCCAAACCCAGAUGAUCCCCUAGUGCCAGAGAUUGCACGGAUCUAUAAAACAGACAGAGAUAAGUACAACAGAAUAUCUCGGGAAUGGACUCAGAAGUAUGCCAUGUGA